rnacentral:rRNA from 1 species
CAGCAGUGGGGAAUAUUGCACAAUGGGGGAAACCCUGAUGCAGCCAUUGCCGCGUGUGUGAAGAAGGCCUUCGGGUUGUAAAGCACUUUCAGUAGGGAGGAAGGUAGUGUAGUUAACACCUGCACUAUUUGACGUUACCUACAGAAGAAGCACCGGCUAACUCCGUGCCAGCAGCCGCGGUAAUACGGAGGGGGCAAGCGUUAUCCGGAAUCACUGGGCGUAAAGGGUGCGUAGGCGGCUUAGCAAGCCAGGGGUGAAAGGCAUUGGCUCAACCAAUGUAAGCCUUUGGAACUGUUAGGCUUGAGUGCAGGAGAGGUAAGUGGAAUUCCUAGUGUAGAGGUGAAAUUCGUAGAUAUUAGGAGGAACACCAGUGGCGAAGGCGACUUACUGGACUGUAACUGACGCUGAUGCACGAAAGCGUGGGUAGCGAACAGGAUUAGAUACCCUGGGGA